AAAGGUUUAGUUUAAAUAAAACAUUAAUUUGUCAAGUUAAAGAUAUUAAUUAUUUAAUAAUCUUUA
rnacentral:tRNA from 1 species